rnacentral:antisense_RNA from 3 species
CUUAAUGGUAGCUGUACGUAGGGCGCCCUUGGGCGCGCCGGAUUGCUGAGUGUCCCGGUCUGCUAACCUGCGUGCAGUUGCCACCCUC